rnacentral:rRNA from 1 species
UACGUAGGGUGCAAGCGUUGUCCGGAAUUAUUGGGCGUAAAGAGCUCGUAGGCGGCUUGUCACGUCGGGUGUGAAAGACCGGGGCUUAACUCCGGUUCUGCAUUCGAUACGGGCUAGCUAGAGUGUGGUAGGGGAGAUCGGAAUUCCUGGUGUAGCGAUGAAAUGCGCAGAUAUCAGGAGGAACACCGGUGGCGAAGGCGGAUCUCUGGGCCAUUACUGACGCUGAGGAGCGAAAGCGUGGGGAGCGAACAGG